rnacentral:rRNA from 1 species
UACGUAGGGUGCGAGCGUUGUCCGGAAUUAUUGGGCGUAAAGGGCUCGUAGGCGGUUUGUCGCGUCGGGAGUGAAAACACCGGGCUUAACUCGGUGCUUGCUUUCGAUACGGGCAGACUAGAGGUAUGCAGGGGAGAACGGAAUUCCUGGUGUAGCGGUGAAAUGCGCAGAUAUCAGGAGGAACCCCGGUGGCGAAGGCGGUUCUCUGGGCAUUACCUGACGCUGAGGAGCGAAAGUGUGGGGAGCGAACAGG